UACGAAGGGGGCUAGCGUUGCUCGGAAUUACUGGGCGUAAAGCGCGCGCAGGCGGCCUUUCAAGUCAGGGGUGAAAGCCCGGAGCUCAACUCCGGAAUUGCCUUUGAAACUGUCAGGCUCGAGUACGGGAGAGGUGAGUGGAAUUCCCAGUGUAGAGGUGAAAUUCGUAGAUAUUGGGAAGAACACCGGUGGCGAAGGCGGCUCACUGGCCCGUUUCUGACGCUCAGGCGCGACAGCGUGGGGAUCAAACAGG
rnacentral:rRNA from 1 species